UGACCUCAAAUCAGGUAGGAUUACCCGCUGAACUUAAGCAUAUCAAUAAGCGGAGGAAAAGAAACUAACAAGG
rnacentral:rRNA from 1 species